AGUGAACGCUGGCGGUAGGCCUAACACAUGCAAGUCGAACGGCAGCACAGUAAGAGCUUGCUCUUACGGGUGGCGAGUGGCGGACGGGUGAGGAAUACAUCGGAAUCUACUUUUUCGUGGGGGAUAACGUAGGGAAACUUACGCUAAUACCGCAUACGACCUACGGGUGAAAGCAGGGGAUCUUCGGACCUUGCGCGAUUGAAUGAGCCGAUGUCGGAUUAGCUAGUUGGCGGGGUAAAGGCCCACCAAGGCGACGAUCCGUAGCUGGUCUGAGAGGAUGAUCAGCCACACUGGAACUGAGACACGGCCCAGACUCCUACGGGAGGCAGCAGUGGGGAAUAUUGGACAAUGGGCGCAAGCCUGAUCCAGCCAUACCGCGUGGGUAAAGAAGGCCUUCGGGUUGUAAAGCCCUUUUGUUGGGAAAGAAAAGCAGCAGGUUAAUACCCCGCUGUUCUGACGGUACCCAAAGAAUAAGCACCGGCUAACUUCGUG
rnacentral:rRNA from 1 species